rnacentral:lncRNA from 1 species
UUUCUUCCCCGGAAGGUAUCAGAAUCAGAGGUUCCUGCUACUCCUUUUUUUUUGUCUUUCCAUGCCCCUUGGCAGUCCUCAUUCCACCUGACCAUUUGAUUUCUUCCUUUUUUGUUUAUUUUUGGUUCAGGCGUUUCUAGUACUUUUUUUUUUUUUUUUUUUUUUUUUUGCAGGAUCAACCUUGAUUCCUCUUUCGUUCGCAACAUGCCUCGGCAGCUUGCUGGACAGCACUCCAUAAGUGCGCUAAUUCGAACUCAACAGUAUGAGUUAUCUCUACCUGUCAAACAACUUGAUCCACCGGAUGCCCCUCUUCUGCUUGGGACUUUGCCAUCAUGUCAUCAACAUGGCAUUUGC